UGCCGGGUGGUGUAAUGGUAACACUACUGAUUUUGGUUCAGUCAUUCAUGGUUCGAGUCCAUGCCCGGUAG
rnacentral:tRNA from 1 species